CGACCGUGUGGUCAAGGAUACGGGUGCCGUUGUGGUCGGCACCGACCAUCAGACAGGGGGUUCCACGCCCCAGGGCCGC
rnacentral:tRNA from 1 species